GCCCCUGUAGCUCAGUGGAUAGAGCGUCGAGUUUCGCAAACUGAAGGUCGUGGGUUCGAGUCCCACCAGGGGCG
rnacentral:tRNA from 1 species